rnacentral:rRNA from 1 species
AGUGAACGCUGGCGGUAGACCUAACACAUGCAAGUCGAACGGCAGCACAGUAAGAGCUUGCUCUUACGGGUGGCGAGUGGCGGACGGGUGAGGAAUACAUCGGAAUCUACUUUUUCGUGGGGGAUAACGUAGGGAAACUUACGCUAAUACCGCAUACGACCUACGGGUGAAAGCAGGGGAUCUUCGGACCUUGCGCGAUUGAAUGAGCCGAUGUCGGAUUAGCUAGUUGGCGGGGUAAAGGCCCACCAAGGCGACGAUCCGUAGCUGGUCUGAGAGGAUGAUCAGCCACACUGGAACUUAGACACGGUCCAGACUCCUACGGGAGGCAGCAGUGGGGAAUAUUGGACAAUGGGCGCAAGCCUGAUCCAGCCAUACCGCGUGGGUGAAGAAGGCCUUCGGGUUGUAAAGCCCUUUUGUUGGGAAAGAAAAGCAGCAGGUUAAUACCCCGCUGUUCUGACGGUACCCAAAGAAUAAGCACCGGCUAACUUCGUG